rnacentral:rRNA from 1 species
UACAGAGGUCCCAAGCGUUGUUCGGAUUCACUGGGCGUAAAGGGUGCGUAGGUGGUGAGGUAAGUCGGAUGUGAAAGCUCAGGGCUCAACCCUGAAAUGGCAUUGAAUACUACUGAGCUGGAGGUUUGGAGGGGGGACUGGAAUUCUCGGUGUAGCAGUGAAAUGCGUAGAUAUCGAGAGGAACACCAGUGGCGAAGGCGAGUCCCUGGACAACACCUGACACUGAGGCACGAAAGCUAGGGGAGCAAACAGG